rnacentral:rRNA from 1 species
GAUGAACGCUGGCGGCGUGCCUAAUACAUGCCAGUCGAGCGAACGGACGAGAAGCUUGCUUCUCUGAUGUUAGCGGCGGACGGGUGAGUAACACGUGGAUAACCUACCUAUAAGACUGGGAUAACUUCGGGAAACCGGAGCUAAUACCGGAUAAUAUUUUGAACCGCAUGGUUCAAAAGUGAAAGACGGUCUUGCUGUCACUUAUAGAUGGAUCCGCGCUGCAUUAGCUAGUUGGUAAGGUAACGGCUUACCAAGGCAACGAUGCAUAGCCGACCUGAGAGGGUGAUCGGCCACACGGGAACGUGGACACGGUCCAGACUCCUACGGGAGGCAGCAGUAGGGAAUCUUCCGCAAUGGGCGAAAGCCUGACGGAGCAACGCCGCGUGAGUGAUGAAGGUCUUCGGAUCGUAAAACUCUGUUAUUAGGGAAGAACAUAUGUGUAAGUAACUGUGCACAUCUUGACGGUACCUAAUCAGAAAGCCACGGCUAACUACGUG